GAUGAACGCUAGCGGCAGGCUUAACACAUGCAAGUCGAGGGGUAUGCCGAUUUAUCGGCAGAGAUCGGCGCACGGGUGCGUAACGCGUAUGCAAUCUGCCUUUCACAGAGGGAUAGCCCAGAGAAAUUUGGAUUAAUACCUCAUAGUAUAGUAAGUUGGCAUCAACCUGCUAUUAAAGUCACAACGGUGAAAGAUGAGCAUGCGUCCCAUUAGCUAGUUGGUAAGGUAACGGCUUACCAAGGCUACGAUGGGUAGGGGUCCUGAGAGGGAGAUCCCCCACACUGGUACUGAGACACGGACCAGACUCCUACGGGAGGCAGCAGUGAGGAAUAUUGGUCAAUGGGCGCAAGCCUGAACCAGCCAUGCCGCGUGCAGGAUGACGGUCCUAUGGAUUGUAAACUGCUUUUGUACGAGAAGAAACACUCCUACGUGUAGGGGCUUGACGGUAUCGUAAGAAUAAGGAUCGGCUAACUCCGUGCCAGCAGCCGCAGUAACAC
rnacentral:rRNA from 1 species